rnacentral:rRNA from 1 species
UACGUAGGGUGCGAGCGUUAAUCGGAAUUACUGGGCGUAAAGCGUGCGCAGGCGGUAAGUUAAGUCUGAUGUGAAAGCCCCGGGCUCAACCUGGGAAUGGCAUUGGAAACUGGCUUGCUGGAGUGUGGCAGAGGGGGGUGGAAUUCCGCGUGUAGCAGUGAAAUGCGUAGAGAUGCGGAGGAACACCGAUGGCGAAGGCAGCCCCUGGGCCAACACUGACGCUCAGGCACGAAAGCGUGGGAGCAAACAGG